rnacentral:miRNA from 1 species
AGAUUAUCUACAAGGGAAUUUU